rnacentral:rRNA from 1 species
AUGCCAAUUGAGGCGCCGGUGCUGGGUCCUUUGCUCGGAAAUACCGUCAACACGGUCAUAAGUCCAUUCUAUACGCUCUUCUCCACAAAUGCCAUGUAUUGCUUCACCGCUCGCACAAACGUGACAAAACAUAGGACUGAAACUGAGACAUUGAGUGGCAACUUGCUUCGUGUCAAACAGGGAAUUGUAGAUGGCGAGAUGAAUGGCUUGAUACCGACGGAAGAAGCAAAUGAGUGGGUGCAAAGGGCGGAGCAAGCCAUAUGUGAAGAAGCGGCAAACCGCGAGUCUUUUUUUGAUCAGAGGUGCAGAAUCUUUGGGUGCUCCCUGAACAUGAAUUGCUGGGGAAACUAUAAAACCAGCAAGAAAGCAGCUGAAAAGGUGGAUGCUGUGAAACAAUAUAUCAGUAGCACACCGCUGCCAGAUAAUGUCACACGCACACCACCUCCACCUCCUGUCGUAGAUUUGUCCACCCACUCUGCUCAGCUUCUGCCAAGCAGAGAGCCUACUCUCAGGAGUGCUCUCAUGUGCAUUAAGGAGGAGGAUGCGGUGGGAGUGAUUGGAAUAUGGGGUCCACGUGGAGUUGGGAAAACACAUCUUCUCACAAAGAUAAACAAUUCAUUUCUUGAACAUUGUCCCUUUGAUAUGGUUAUCCUUAUUAAGGCCUCGAGUGAAUGCACGGUGCAAAAGGUUCAAGCUCAGAUCAUAAACAGGUUCGGUAUAAACCAGAAUGUUAAUGUGACAGCUCAAAUACAUGAACUGCUCAAGAAACGAAGUUUUCUGGUGUUGGUGGAUGACCUUUGUGAGAAGCUAGACCUUUCAGCUGUUGGCAUUCCACAUCCUCUUGGAGUUGUGGACCAAAAGAAGAGGAAGGUGCUAAUCAUUUCACGAUCACAAUCCAUAUGUGAUCUGAUGGGUGUGGAUAAAUAUAUGCAAGUGCUUGGUUUGGAGGAAGAGGAGGCACACCAACUAUUUGAACAAAGUUUUGGUGAGGAGAAUCUUUAUACUGAUCCCCAUGUCGGGGUACUUGUUAAGGAUCUCGUAAGAGAACUAAUUGGCCGACCAUCAGAGCUGAUACAUUUCGGGAAGAUGAUGCGAAGAAGCAGAAAUGCAAGGCAGUGGGAAGAUGUCAUUGAUGCAGUAAAGAGAUCAAACCUUCGAAAUGAUAACCCAUUAUGUAUGGCGGAAAGAAUUGAGGGAAGUCUCGAGGAUUCCACCAAAGACUUGAUCGCGAAAAAAAAUGAUGUAUGUCAGAAGAUUAAGAAUGCUGAGCGAGAAGGCAAGAAAUCAACAAAUGAGGUCGACAGAUGGCUGGAAAAAGUGGCCAGAAUCAUUGAUGUUGUGCAUGUAAUCUCUGUGGACUAUAAGCUGAAGAAGGAUGUUACCAUGGAGGCAUCUGAGAAGCUUCGUGAGGUUCAAGAGUGUCUCAGUAUUUGUCCCAGUACUGUUGCAAUUGAGUCAAUGCCACCUCCUGUCCAAGAGAUGCCUGGUCCAUCUAUGUCAGCCGAGAACCGUAACCUCCAAGAUGCUCUCCAGUGCAUUAAGGAUGAUCCCAAAGUGGGAAUGAUUGGAAUUUGGGGUCCAGGUGGAGUGGGGAAAACACAUCUUCUCAACAAUAUUAAUAACUCAUUUGGAGAUGGUAUGAACUUUGAUUUUGUUGUCUUUGUAACUGCCUCCAGAGAGUGCUCGGUGGAAAAGGUCCAGUCACAAAUCAUAGAAAGGCUCAGGCUGCAAAGUGUUGGUUCUAAUCGUCUUACCAUACAUGCGUACAUGAAAACGAAAAGCUUUCUUGUACUAUUGGAUGACCUAUGGAACGAAAUUAAUCUAGAAGAAGUUGGUAUACCAUAUCCCCUUGGAAAUGUAAAGAAACUCAAUAGAAAAGUGGUGCUAACAACAAGAUUAAGAAAAGUUUGUGGCCAAAUGAAGGUGAAGAAAGAGUUAAAAGUUGCAUAUCUGCAGGAGCAUGAGGCAUGGCAGCUAUUUAAAGAAAAUAUUGAUGCCGAAACUCUUUCUAGUCCCCAUAUUGAAACCCUUGCUAGAGAACUUAUGAAGGAACUGAAAGGCUUGCCACUAGCUUUGAUAACUAUUGGAAAGGCAAUGUAUCAGAAAGAUGAGUAUCAAUGGGAAACUGCCAUCCAAUAUAUGAAACAAUCAUGCUGCACUGAGGACAAAGACCCAAUAGAACUGGGUAUGGAAACUAAUGUUUUCAGGCAGCUAAAGUUUAGUUAUGAAAAAUUAAGAAACGACAUAUUGAGAGAUUGUUUUUUGACUUGUGUACUCUGGCCAGAGGAUGCGAAGAUUCGCAAAGUUGACCUUGCUCAAUGUUGGAUGGGCUUAGGUCUAGUGAAUGAGCAUGACAUAGAAUCUUCCUUUAGGAAAUCAUAUAGUUUGAUAGCUGACCUUACAGCUGCAUGCUUGCUAGAGGGCAGCGAUGCUCACCCAGGAUCUUCCUUUGAAAAUUCACAUGGUUCUGUUAAAGUGCAUGAUGUGAUUCGUGAUAUGGCUUUAUGGAUUUCUUGUGACUGUGGUGAGAAGAAUGACAAAUGGAUUGUGGCGGCACCAGGUGACAGAGACAAAGAAGUUAUUAUCCUUUCGAACAAAGCUGAGUGCAUCUCCUUGAGUUUCAACAGAAUUCCUAUCAGGUUUAAUCUUGAUCCAUUAAAGCUGAGGAUCUUGUGCCUUCGGAACAACGGAUUGGAUGAAAGCAUUAUUGAAGCAAUUAAGAAUUGCACUUCACUGACAUAUCUGGAUUUGAGCGGAAACAACCUCAAGAGGAUACCGGAAGAAUUAUGUUCCUUGGUAAACCUGGAAUACCUUGAUUUGUCAGAAAAUGUAUUUGGGGAAACUGGAGUGCCUCGAUCCUUUGGAGAUCUUAUCAACCUCAAGUUCUUGUACCUAAAGUCUGGUAGUGGUUACGUGAGAAUACCAGCUGGGGUCAUUGCUAGACUUAAAGCAUUGCAGGUAAUAGACUUGAGGAGUCUCUUAAGAGAAUGUACCCUAUUCCUAUUCCGAGAGUUGGGCACCCUACCUCAGUUGAAAGCGCUUGGUAUUCUGGUAAGAGAUUUAGCUCAGUUUGAGUCACUAGGAGAAGCAGCAAACCUCCCUGUUAGAUAUUUGGCUCUAAAUGACGUAAGUGCACUCACUCGUAUUUUAUCAACCGACUUUGCACAAAGGACCUUGUAUGAACUUGAUAUCAAUGAAGAAAGAUAUUUUCUUGAACAAGAUAUCAAUGAAGAAAUCGACACUCGAGAAAUAACAGUAGAACAUGACACAGAACAACCAAGCAAUCGUUUUGGUGCUCUCACCAACAUCCGAUUAACUAUGGCGAGAUCCUUGAGAGAGAUAAAGUGGAUGGGAGCAACUCCAGCAUUUAUAUUCCCAAGGCUCACUUUUUUGGAAUUGUUUAUGUGCCAACAUCUAUUGCACCUCUCUUGGGUUAUGCAUUUGCCUCGCCUUGAACAACUUCAUAUAGUUUCUUGUGACGGCAUGGUGCAAGCAUUUAUGAGGUGCCAUGGUGACAGAUUGUGCAACGGACAGGACAAGACAAAAACAUUUCCUCGCCUCAAGCUUCUCUUUCUUAUUUAUAACGAAUCGUUGGAAACUAUUGGGGACAAUGGUAUGGAAUUCCCAUCCCUAGAGCGACUUGAGCUUGAAGGUAGUCUGGCAUUGAAGAGGCUUCCUUUCCGGUCGGACAGUUUGCCACCAAAGCUGAAGGAGCUACGGUUUGAUGAUGCUAGAUGCUGGGAGAGACUAGAAUGCGAAGAAGGUGUCAAAACUAUCCUGGAACCCUAUAUUAAAUUUGGCAGACGACAUCAGGGUUAA